AGUGAACGCUGGCGGCAGGCCUAACACAUGCAAGUCGAGCGGCAGCGCGUCCGACCACCCUCGGGUGGUCGGAUGGCGGCGAGCGGCGGACGGGUGAGGAAUGCAUCGGAAUCUGCCUCGUUGUGGGGGAUAACGUAGGGAAACUUACGCUAAUACCGCAUACGACCUACGGGUGAAAGUGGGGGACCUUCGGGCCUCACGCGAUGAGAUGAGCCGAUGCCGGAUUAGCUAGUUGGCGGGGUAAAGGCCACCAAGGCGACGAUCCGUAGCUGGUCUGAGAGGAUGAUCAGCCACACUGGAACUGAGACACGGUCCAGACUCCUACGGGAGGCAGCAGUGGGGAAUAUUGGACAAUGGGGGCAACCCUGAUCCAGCCAUGCCGCGUGUGUGAAGAAGGCCUUCGGUUGUAAAGCACUUUGUUGGGUAAGAAACCGGACCGGGUUAAGUACCUCGGUUGAAUGACGGUACCCGAAACGGAAAUAAGACACCGGCGUAACUUACGUGCCAGCAGCCGCGGUAAACG
rnacentral:rRNA from 1 species